rnacentral:rRNA from 1 species
UACGUAGGAUGCAAGCGUUGUCCGGAAUUAUUGGGCGUAAAGAGCGCGCAGGCGGUUUGACAAGUCAGAUGUGAAAGAGGCCGGCUUAACCGGCAAGGGUCAUUUGAAACUGUCAGACUAGAGUGCAGCAGAGGAUAGUGGAAUUCCCGGUGUAGUGGUGAAAUGCGUAGAUAUCGGGGGGAACACCAGUGGCGAAGGCGACUAUCUGGGCUGCAACUGACGCUGAGGCGCGAAGGCUAGGGUAGCAAACAGG